CCCAGCACUCCUCCCUGGAGCAGAGCUCUCCUCCGCAGAGUAACACCCCAGGAACUCCUCCUUCCUACAAACUGCCUCCACUGCUCGGGAACUACGAGAGCAAAGAUGAUUUCCCGCUCCGCAAGACGGUCUCGGAGCCCAACCUGAAGGUGCGUUCACGGUUGAAGCAGAAGGUGGCGGAGAGGCGGAGCUCUCCACUUCUCCGCAGGAAGGAUGGAACCGUCAUCAGCACCUUUAAGAAGAGAGCCAUAGAGAUAUCAGUCUCGUCCCUCUGUAACAGCGCUCCAGGUUCAGGUCCCAGCAGUCCCAACAGUUCCAACUCAGCUAUCGCCAACGGCAACACGGGAUCAGUCCCCAACAUACAGACUGAGCUGAGAUCUCUCCAUCAAACGCUGGGGGCUGAUGGGACACUGAGUCCGCUGAGUCUCUACACUUCGCCCUCGCUGCCAAAUAUUUCCCUGGGGCUCCCUGCGAACACUCACAUCACGGUC